ensembl:lncRNA IGF2BP2-AS1 IGF2BP2 antisense RNA 1
UAUUGAUGGAUUUAAGUUUUCAAUUUUAUGUCAUUUUGUGCUUUCUGGAGGCGGUACAGUGAGCUUGGAAGUUUUUGCCCUGGUAGAGGUGGAGACGAUAUAGCCCAGAAGUUCAGACUGGAGUCAAAGGUUCCGAGUUCAAAGCCCACCCAGCUACUUAUUAACUGAAUGACCCUUAGCGAAGUUGCUUUAACUUUCCUGAUUCAGCUCCUUCAUCUAAACUCUCAGAAUUGUUAGAUCAGUCAUGCUUCUGAACAUGGUGACAGUGAUAGUUUGUGACUGCUGAAACCAGAUCAUAGCAUGCCUUUCUUAGGAAUGCUUGCUCUUGGAAGCCAGCCACCAUGCUGUGAGGAAGAGCAAGCAACACAUGGAGAGGCCACUGUUCCAGCCAACAGCCCCAGCUGAGGUCCCAGCUGACAGGCCGCAUCAAAUCGCCAAGGAUGUGAACAAGUAAAAUGACAAUGGUGGACGUCUCAUUCAUCCUGGAAGACUGACAGAGGAGACAGCUUCAAGGCAAGCAGGGCUUUGGCCAUUUCCCCAGCCCAUCAACCAGCCAAUCACAAAAUCAAAAAACUAGAUACUACAUGGCAACUAACCUUUAAGAAACUACUGCUUGUCAAAUUUUGUUGUAGUAUCAAAGAAGAAUAUCCAUAAUUAUCUGAAAAGGCUAUUAAAAUACUCUUUGCCAAUUA